CCUACCACACGACCCCCGAGAGAGCGAGUCUCGGUGGCUGCCUGUCUGCGCGCUCAUUGAGCGUGGGGCUGGGCUCCGCUGGGACUCCACCCCUGAUCGAUCCUUCCGUCGAGCACCCUGGGACACGCGGGGAUCUUGAGGAGAAGCACGUUGCGACCCUGAGAGUGCCAACCCACACGCUAUAAGCACUCGGGCGGGCGGUACCGCCCUCAACCCUGCCAUUCAAAGGGAAUGGACCGGGGACCGGCACAAGCCGGUGGGGCAUGUCGUUCUAAUUCGAAGCAAGGCGAAGAACGUUACCAGGUCUGGACAUCCUCUGACCAUCCUAGAGAUAGGACCUUCCCUUUCGGGGGACAGAGUGACAGUGCGUGCAUGGUUGUCGUCAGCUCGUGUCGUGAGAUGUUGGGUUAAGUCCCGCAACGAGCGCAACCCUUGUCCUUAGUUGCCAGCAUUCAGUUGGGCACUCUAAGGAGACUGCCGGUGUUAAACCGGAGGAAGGCGGGGAUGACGUCAAGUCCUCAUGGCCCUUAUGGGUAGGGCUUCACACGUAAUACAAUGGCGCGUACAGAGGGCUGCUAAGCCGCGAGGUAGAGCCAAUCCCUUAAAGCGCGUCGUAGUCCGGAUUGCAGUCUGCAACUCGACUGCAUGAAGUCGGAAUCGCUAGUAAUCGCGGAUCAGCAUGUCGCGGUGAAUACGUUCCCGGGUCUUGUACACACCGCCCGUCACACCAUGGGAGUGGGUUUCACCAGAAGCCGGUCGCCUAACCGCAAGGAGGGCGCCGACCACGGUGAGAUUCAUGACUGGGAUGAAGUCGUAACAAGGUAAAUCGAAUUCCCGCGGCC
rnacentral:rRNA from 1 species